AUUGAACGCUGGCGGCAGGCUUAACACAUGCAAGUCGAGCGGAGCGAGGGUGCUUGCACCUUAGCUUAGCGGCGGACGGGUGAGUAAUGCUUAGGAAUCUGCCUAUUAGUGGGGGACAACAUUCCGAAAGGAAUGCUAAUACCGCAUACGCCCUACGGGGGAAAGCAGGGGAUCUUCGGACCUUGCGCUAAUAGAUGAGCCUAAGUCGGAGUAGCUAGUUGGUGGGGUAAAGGCCUACCAAGGCGACGAUCUGUAGCGGGUCUGAGAUGAUGAUCCGCCACACUGGGACUGAGAAACGGCCCAGACUCCUACGGGAGGCAGCGGUGGGGAAUAGUGGACAAUGGGCGGAAGCCUGAUCCAGCCAUGCCGCGUGUGUGAAGAAGGCCUUUUGGUUGUAAAGCACUUUAAGCGAGGAGGAGGCUCUUUUGGUUAAUACCCAAGAUGAGUGGACGUUACUCGCAGAAUAAGCACCGGCUAACUCUGUGCCAGCCGCCGCAGUAAGAC
rnacentral:rRNA from 1 species